AUUGAACGCUGGCGGCAGGCUUAACACAUGCAAGUCGAGCGGGGGAAGGUAGCUUGCUACUGGACCUAGCGGCGGACGGGUGAGUAAUGCUUAGGAAUCUGCCUAUUAGUGGGGGACAACAUCUCGAAAGGGAUGCUAAUACCGCAUACGUCCUACGGGAGAAAGCAGGGGAUCUUCGGACCUUGCGCUAAUAGAUGAGCGUAAGUCGGAUUAGCUAGUUGGUGGGGUAAAGGCCUACCAAGGCGACGAUCUGUAGCGGGUCUGAGAGGAUGAUCCGCCACACUGGGACGGAGACACGGCCCAGACUCCUACGGGAGGCAGCAGUGGGGAAUAUUGGACAAUGGGGGGAACCCUGAUCCAGCCAUGCCGCGUGUGGGAAGAAGGCCUUAUGGUUGUAAAGCACUUUAAGCGAGGAGGAGGCUACUCUAGUUAAUACCUAGGGAUAGUGGACGUUACUCGCAGAAUAAGCACCGGCUAACUCUGUGCCAGCCGCCGCAGUAA
rnacentral:rRNA from 1 species